GAAGGUAACUCGUAACCGUGAUUGCAUUUUAUAUAUUAAUUUUUUGGACAUGGGGAUAUUUAAGUUGUUGAUUAAAGUAAUUUUGGCGAUUGAUUAGCUUGGUUGGCUCUUUCUUGUUAGUUUUUAGAAGGAUUUUACUUUUUUUAUUUUUUUUUAAAGCAAGGAUUUUACUUGAAUAACAUGGUUUGUACGUUAAUCGGACUGUAGGUUUUAGUAAAUAAUAUUUAUAUGGGUAUGAAUUAUGGAGAUGUUGAGGAUGCAAAACUGCUGAAUUUUGAAUUUCGGCAAUGUUAUUCCGAUUGGGUUUUGAGGUCUUUUGGGUGAAUUGAUUACCCUUUUGUCUUUUUGGUGGUGCUCCUGAUUUCAAAAUUGAUGAUGGUGCAUUAGCACAGUACAUUAUUUCAAAGAAGAAUCGUUUCUUUUUCUUCAACUAGCUUAACUAGAUCAACAAGAGGUUGCUUUGUCAGUUUAUGUGGCUAGGUAUGAAGGUGUUUAAACAGGUCACUCCUGUAACCCUUUCGCUAUGGGCCAGAGUUUCUGGAUUCAGAUGGCUCAGGCUCAGAUUUUUUUCCAAUGACGGAUGCUUGAUAAUCAUGCUUUUCUGAAAUAUGGCUGUCCCUGUCCUCUUGUUAAUUGUUCUCUUAAUUAGCUUAUUGCCGAACUAGUUUAAGAAGGAAGUUGGUUCUGCAGCUCUUGAGUCUUGGAAGAUAAAUAAAUGCUGCAGCCUAAGCGUGACAUGGGAGAUCACAAUUAGUGUGUAUAAUUAUAAUUUUGUGAAAAUUGCUGGUGUAAUGUAUACAGAUUGACUGGUUAUACAUAUGUAUGUGAUCCAAACAUUUUAGCAGAAAAGAGAAAUAAUAUUGUCAAGUAUUCAUUUGUAUAACAAGUGAACUUAAUGCAGCAAAAUCAUAGACAAAUUUUAAGGAUGAGAAAAACAUAAUCACUCUGUUAUUUUUUUUUCCGAAUCUAUGUUAUUUUCUUAUAUAUUUUUUUAAUUGAAUUUUGUAACUUUCAUUUUUGUUCUUUUUCUCAUCAUCACAAUGGAUUGAAAUUUAAUGGCCUUUUUCGAUUCACAGAGCAGGGAGUCUCACGCAUGGGACACACCCUUUUUUCUAGUUCUCCAUAUUAUGUUGCUUCUUUUGUGACUCAUUUAUGAAUGGUCCUAUCAUUUCUAAUGAUAAUAACAAUGACAGUGUGGGAGGACAAGGAGGAAGGAAAAGAGGUGACACAACAGUGGGAAGAUGAUUGGGAUGAUGAUGAUGUUAAUGAUGACUUCUCGCUGCAGCUGAGGAGGGAAUUGGAGAAGAAUGCUGAGAAAAACUAAGUAACUAAUUUGUGUUGUCUCUCAGUAUUAGCAUAUGUAAUGGAGUAUCAAUUAGUAGUUUGAGCACAAGAUGUUCUUUCCAUGUGCUUAGCAUGGAGAAGAUUGUGUGAACUAUUAAGAUCAUUUAGUUCAGUUCAAAAUUUAAGUUCUGGAACUUGAGACUUUUAUUUUCUACAACUUCGACUUUACGUGCUAGGGUUUUGUGCUUGAAUGGGUUGCCUCAUAGGACCAUGUUAAAUUCCUCCGUUUGUGUAGUACGUUUAUGAAUAACAUGCUAUCAUGGUGAGUUGAUGAUGGUAUCCCACUCGAGCGGUUGAGCCAACAUCUUGACAUUGGGAGAACAGUCCUUUUCUGCCAUGGUGAUGGAAUGCUGUGGCCUUGCAACAUACAAUGGAAAGUGAUUCUUUGUUUUUGUGGUGGUGCAUUUCAAGAUUUCAAUUCCUAUGUAGGUUUUGAGAACUGAACAUGGUAUAGAAGUCUUUCAAAAUUAGAUGACAUUUUCAUUUAAUUAGUUUAAAUUAGAGUAGAGGUUAAUGUAUCAUAAGUUUUUUGUUCUCAUAUACAGCACAUAAAUAGGUCUCAUUUUAUUGAAAUGUCAAAGAGCAUAAAGGACAGGAAGA
rnacentral:misc_RNA from 1 species